AUUGAACGCUGGCGGCAGGCCUAACACAUGCAAGUCGAGCGAGCGGCGGACGGGUGAGUAAUGUAGGGGGAUCUGCACGAUAGAGGGGGAUCACCACUGGAAACGGUGGAUAAUACCGCAUACCCUACGAUGCACCCAUAUGGGAUUAACUAGUAGGUGGGGUAAAGGCUCACCUAGGAGACGAGCUUUCGCUGGUCUGAGAGGAUGAGCAGCCAAACGGGAACUGAGACACGGCCCAGACGCCUACGUGAGGCAGCAGUGGGGAAUAUUACACAAGGGGCGCAAGCCUGAUGCAGCCAUGCCGCGUGUGUGAAGAAGGCCUUAGGGUUGCAAAGUACUUUCAGCGGGGAGGCGUUACCCGCAGAAGAAGCACCGGCUAACUCCGUGCCAGCAGCCGCGGUAAUUC
rnacentral:rRNA from 1 species